ensembl:lncRNA
CCUCACCCACGCCGCACCCGCGUCCCCAUCCCCAGAUCUGUUUGGGCAAAGUUGCUUAUGGUUCUGUCUCCCAGAGAAAGGAGCGUCCCAAAGCCGGGAGGGGCACCUGAGGUGACCCGAGACACCCUGAGCAGAGCGGGUGUGUCCCUCCAGCCACUGGAGACGUCCCCUUUGUUUCCCUGCACCUGGGGGCUUGAAAUGUCGAGGCCACAGUGCUUCGUGUGACCCUGGAGUCGUGCAGACCCCUUCCACCCCCGCCGUGUCCCCCCAACUAGGGCACAGGGAAGCAUCCAGAAAGAAGGGGACCCACAUGUCCUGGAACCCAGACACCUUCCUCCCAGCCCUUAUGGUCACAAGCAGUUAAAUUAGCGCACAUUUAUUGCGGGAAUUUGAAUCUGUCCCUGGCUACGGUCUUUGCCUGUGGGGCCUGGCCUGGGUCUUUCCCAGGACACUGCCAGUCCUCACGUGUCUCAUGUCGCAGGGAACCUGGACAGCAAUGGCUGUGAUCAUUUCACUUCUCCAGCCUGGAAAUCUCCUUUGCACCUAGGCACUCAGCUCCCAGGAGCAGAGGAGGGGGCGGAGGGAUGGAUGAAGGAGUGGUGUAGGGCACACAGAGGUGCAGUUUUCCGUCUGGGGAGCAGGGAAGGGUGUCCCAGAGGAGGUGACAUUCAGACGGGGUCCCUGAGGCUGAGUUGUUUCAGGAGGGAUUGCAUUUGCCUCCUCAGCAAUUGCUCUUGUUCUUGGUAGUACCCUAGUUUUUACUUUAUACUCACUUCUCCCUCUUAGCCACAUACGGGGGUGGGGGGGAGCUGAUUCCAGAGAGAGGGAGAGAGAGAGUGAGCGAGAAGGAGGGCAUGUGGAUGUGGUUUAGGGCUUAGGCUGAAAUGAAUCAGUGUGUUGCCAUCCCUAGGCCAGAGUUUCAGAAGUGCAGUAUGACAAAGAAAAUAAUUUUCUUGGUCCUCUAAAAGAGUCCCUGAAGCAAAGGAAUUCACUCUGUCUCUUCCUUCCUACCUUCUCCUUGGCUCCCCCAGGCUGGAGCAAGGGAUCUCACAGGCUUGAAUGUUGACUCAGGAUGGAGUGGACAAGGGGAUCGGGCCUGGAUUCAGGCAGACACUGGAUGAGGUGUGCAGGGGCCGAGGCCACAAGGACCUUGUGGAGCCCCAACUUCAGCCAUGCUGUAAGCCGAUCCUGUGAGCACUUUCCAGUUCCAGAUCAGUCCAAGCCACCUUGAGUCAGGAAGCUUGAGCCCUGGAGCAUGAUGAUGGGUAACAGCCAUCUGGUGGGCUGCCACCCACUUCUCUGCCUUGCUGGAGGUCACGCUGUCCCCAGUGCUGCCCAAACCCCACAGGCAUCGGAAAUGACCCAGAGCUUCGUGAAGGCUGCAGAUCCCCCAGCUCAUACUUGGGCACCUCCUGUGCCCCAUGCUCUGCAAGAAGCCUUUGAGGGAGGAGCUAGGGACAGAGCCCAGCAGGCCCCUGAACAGAGCAGGAACUGUAAGAGGGAGGCAGCAGAGAGAGCAAAAACAAUCUGCAGGUCCUGCCUCUCCAUCCAGCUGCGAGCUGCUCCUAGCCUUCUGCAUGACGUCUUCAGCAGGAAGGGUGUGCAGGGAUUUCUGAACAUCCCGAGUUGCAUAACUGAUCCUAGAAGUAGAAGAGAAAUGAGAGCACAGCCUAAGACAAACCAUAAAAAACGCACAUGACAGCAUGACCUGUAAUGAAACCACUAUCUAAUCGUUGUCUCCAGCCAGAUUUGCAGGUCAACCUCCCUAAACCAGUGGCCAGAAAAAGGACCGCACCUCCCUCUACCUUCCCUUCUGCCACAGGGUGGAGAUGCUGGCCUUGUCCCUUUCAUCAAAUGCCUGCCAGCCUGGGGCAGCCACCAGCGAGCGCCUGCUUGGGGACAGCUCUGCGGUCCGCAAUGUUUCUGCAGAGGGCACUUCCGGCUCUCCCCAGGAGGUCAGCCCAGCCUGCCCCAGCUGCUGCUGCUUAGCCUCAAGCACGGACUGGAAAUAAACAGCUCCCAGGCAAUCUGCAGCUGGGGCAGAGGCUGAGGGUGGUGUUGCAGGGAGGUAUGGGGAAUGGGAAUGUUUUAGUUGAUGUUUGGAUAAGGUGCUUCUGUGACCAUUUUUUUCUCUGCUGAGUGUUAGUGAGAAAAAGAUGGGCACAAGUGUUGGACCUGAGGUUUCCUGAGAACUUCCGCCCAGGGAGACCAAAACUCAGGCACGAUGAGCAGGAUAAUUGCAAGAGACACAGAGAUAACUUGGUCCUUGGUCGUUGUGAAUGGCUGAGGUGCCUGAGGUUGCUCAUGAGGCUGUAGGUAGGAAGUAGAGUGGUUUAAAGUGGGCAUUGGGGUUCUGGCUUAGAACCCCAGCCUCACCCCUCCCCAGCUGGAUGAUUUGCUAUUUAUAAUCAUUUCACCACCACCUAUAAAAUGAAAACAAAACAGCAGGCCCUUAUGGAACACUGUCAGUCUAAGCCAGUGCCAAACACAGUACUAACUAAGGUCUUAGCAUAUGUUAGAACAGUCACUGAGUUGUUGAAGAAAUUGGUGCUAUUAUUAUUGCCAUUUUACAGACAAAACUGAGGCACAUAAGAGAGCAUUGCUGCUGGAGGACUCACUGCUGGUACAUGGUGGGGCCUGGGAUGACCUCAGGCAGUCUGCCCGUAGUGCCCUUGACCACCCUGUCCCUGCGGUUGCUGUGAACAACAGAUGAAAUGCAGCUUAUAAAGGACUUGGCGCCGUGCCUGCCCCAUGGCCAGCUCUCAAUAAAUGUUAGCUUUUAUUAUUAAGAACACACGAAGCAGCACAAAACAGACCAGGCAAGCUACUCACAUAGUUUGAGAUCCUUAACAAUGCCUGGUGUUUGUUUGGCUCUGUGUAGAAUUCAAAGCGCUCUACCAGUGAGGCCUCCUAUAACCUCGCUGCUGCCCCUGAGGGCAGAGGGGCAGUGUGGAAUGCACACAAGAAGGGCAGUUUCUGCAUAAGGUCCUACGCUGGCUCUCUGGUCAUCUAUUCCCAGGGAGUGUGCAGGGACACCUGGGAGCCUGAAUGGCAUGGUGUGUGAGCUGAGAAGAUGCUGAAGAGCCACCAGUAUAUGACCUUUUACCAUGUUAACUCAGAUUCUAUUUACAUAAACAUUUUAUACUCGUCUCUAUAAACUGUGAUACAACAGUUUCUUGAUUCUUUAUUCUUUUUACCUUUUUGUAAUGGAAGUCUAAAGGGAUUACAACAAACGCAGAUUACAAACUCAUAAAAUCACCUUAAAAAGUAAAAAUAGUGGACCAAGUGUUAAACAAUAGAACCUACUGUUUGAACAGCAGUUUCCAGUUUAUGAAUAAGUAUGAUCUCAUUUCAACCUCAUGACAAUUCAUUACUGGACAUAACUGUGCCGUAAAACUCGAGUUUAGGGGAGCUACUCUAAUAGGGAAUAGUAUGGCUACAACCCAGUCUGCCCUUAAUGAAUUUUGCCUGAGUUUUCUUUUUGGCUACCAAAAGAGUUUGUGUUAGUGUCUCCUAUUGUGACUCAGUAAAAGACUGAAUAUAGAAUGAGUGGUUUCGCUCUUUCUUUUUUCUAUUUCUCUCCUUCCCUCCCCUUCCUUCUCCUUCCCUUCUCCUUCCCUUCCCCAUAUUUGGACUUUUCUGGACUCUGUCCUAUACACCUGUGAUGGUUAAUUUUAGGUGUCAGCUUGUCUGAAGAAAGGGACACCCAGACAGUUGGUAAAGUUUUAUUUCUGGGAGGAAUGGUUGGUUUCAAAUUUCAAGUCUCAUACUUAACAUUUCUGUGACUUUGGCCAAGUUACUGACACCUUGGUGUUUCAGAAUUCUCACCUACCAAGAGAGUAGCUACCUCUUGCGAGUAUUGGGAAGGGUAAAUGAGCAAACACACAUAAAGUGUUCGGAAAGGUACUGGGCACACACUAACUCAGUGCUGUUUGCUUAUAUGAAAUAAAAACAGAAAUUAUCUUCCACAAAGAUUGUAGAAUUAUAGCUGUGCUUAUAGUUCUGUGUAUUUUUGCUUUGUAGAUUUUUGAGGCUAAAUUGUUAGGGGCAUACAAGUUUAGGAUCCACAUACCUUCUUAGUGUCUUGAAUCUUUUAUUUACUUCUUUAGCAAUGCCUUUUGCCUUAAAAUCUACAUUGUGUGAUAUUAACACAGUUUCACUGAUUUGGUUAGUGUUUUUUUUUUCCAGUAUUGUGGAUCAAACUUAGGAC